AAGAAGAAGAAGCAGCAGCAGAAGAAGACAAAACGUGGAGAGUUUCUCGGUUAAAGUUUCAUUUUAAUGUCGGCUUUCGAAUUUGGGAAACCCGUUUUUACUAUUCGUGGUAAAUUAUAUGUUGUUAAAUGUCACAUAAAUUCUCUACGUAACGUUAACUUAGUUGCUGUCUGGCUUGUUUGGCAAAUGAACGUUGGAGCCGUCACACUCAACAUUCUCAGCAUAUCAUCAGACAUCUUUCUCGUGGAGUUUUCUGCCAAAUGAGGACGUGAUUGCUGCUGUGCUGUGAAUCUCAAGCACACCUGCAUUCUUAUCAUGGUGUGAAGUUGGUUGCUGUCUGAUGCGUCGGAAGCCACGUCACAGACAACGUCCUAGUGAUGGGCAGUUCAAGAUUGCUGUCGUUCAAGAAGUUAAUGACCACUGUUGUGGUUGUGAGCUACAAAUACCCAGAGGAGGCGACUCUGACUUUGGAAUUCAUAUAGAAAGUUCUCCUGUGAAGAAAUCCUAAAUGAGGGUUGAGAUGAAGGCAACCAAGUGGAAUUUUCCAGUGAAGAAAUCCUGAACGUGGUUUGAGAUGAAGGCAACCAAGUGGCUACGCAUUCUUCCAAGACUCUUGCAUGAACAUUUUUGAAAAUCCAUGUAAUAUUUGAGCUUUUUUAAAAUGUAAAAAAUGGCACUUGUAUUAAACCUUCAGAUAAAUGGGAAAUAAUACAUCCCCUAUAAUAAACUGCAUCACUUCAAUGAUAUUUCAGUUAUAAAGAACUUCAAAAUUCUGUUGUCAAGCCACUGGAGUCACAUAUUUUAUUGAUGUCUUUAUACCUUUCUGGACCUUGAAAAUGGUAUAUCUGCGUAGACUAUCAAUAGAGGAACAGAAAGUACCCAGAUUUCAUUAAAAAUACUCUUUAUUUGUGUUCUAAAAAUGAAUGAAAGUCUUAUGGGUUUGGAAUGGUAUGAGGUUGAGUAAUUAACAGAAUUCCCUUUUUUUUUGCAUGAACUAUCCCUCUAAACAAUAUUGUUUUCUCUUAUAAGAAAAAAAGUUUUGAAUCUUGACUGUUUUACAGUUUAAAUUUUGUGACCACAAUUUAGUGUAUUACCAGUAUUGUACACAUGCUCAUGUUUUAUUUUUAUUUUUUUUAAAUUCUGUCUGUUGCUGUUUAAAGCUAAACUGUCUUUUACAAUACAGUCAUUUUUUAGUGUUUGACAUAUUGUUAAAUGAAUUGAUUUGAGUAUUUGAUAUUGUUUAGUCCUAACCCAUUUAAGGCAAACAAAAGCCAUUGAAUGCACUUUUAGGAAUGUUUACGUGAAGUAAAAAUAAACCAUGUUCAAUUUG